GUAAAGGAAGGGUUUUAUCUUUUUACACAUGAAAAUAAAAAAAUAAAAAGUCUUUCUCCACUUUCUUUCAUCAAUCCUUUCACAUCUCUUUUCAUCUACUUCCUCUGCUUUCUCAUUCAAACUCUAAUAUUUUCAUCUUCUCACCCAUCUUUCUCAUAUCCUUCAUGUAUUCCCCUUGUUGGCAUCUGGUCUUUCAUCCAGGUGAAUAAUAACAAGCAAAAAUUGGGUCGCUGAUUUCUUUGAGUGAAGGAAAUCGAAAUUAUGAUCUCUUUCGAUAUCUUUCUUUUUUCUCAUUCAAAGAAGUAAGGGUUAGAGGUGCUUUGUUUUGGCGGCCGAAAUCGAAUUCCAGUAGAAGGGAUUGAAUCCCAGCGGAGGAAAGAUCGAAUUUACGGUCGAUUACCUGAUUUAUUUUGGCAGAGAAAAUCAGAACCCAAAACUUUUGAUAUAUUCACACGAAGGAAACCGACUGAGGUCUUAUUGAAAAAGGGAAAGAAGAAGUUGUAGGUUUAGUUAACUGAUCCUUAAUGCUUCCUCGGGUACGUAAUGCAUUUGGUUCUUAAUGCUUCCUCAGGUAUGUAAUGCCUUUUCUUUUUCUUUUUCUUUCUAUAAUGUCUUUUAUUUUCUAUAAUGCUCUUUUUUUUCUGUAAUAAUUUUUUUUUUCUUUAAUGCCUUACAAGAGACACUUUCAUUUAGACCAAUCUAUUAACGAUUUUUUUAUUACUUUUUCUAAUUCAAAGUUUAUAAUUUACGGUCUGUGAUGUUCAAGAUUAAGUUUUAAAACAUUUUGAUUACUUUAUUUGUAAUCUAGCGUUGCUUUUCAAUUAAAGCCACUAUCUACUAUCUUUGUUUAUUCAUUGUCUUAGAAACUCCCUUCCAAUGAUAGAAUCCACCUUUUGUUGCAUUUUAGAAGUUGUGUAUCCUUUGAUAGACAACAUUAAAUUACCAUAAUUUUAGAGGUAGGGAUUGUUGGUUUUGGAUGAUUCAGAUUUUGGUGGGCGAGGUUUUUUUUUAUGAUUAUUAAGUUCUCAAAUUUUAGCUACCAUCUUCACUAAUGUUUUUUCUUCUUUUUAUUAUUGAAUAAAAAAGGAUCAUACAUUAUUAUUGAUUUUUUUUUCCAUUGAUUAUGUAUUUAUGGAAAAUUUACUCACACUAUUUUCACAAUUUUGUUUUGAUUGGUAUAUUAAUGUGUUCUUUUAUAAAUUAUUUUUUCGCUAUUAUUUAUUAAUUUUUUUUAGUCCAUGUGAUAGUUGAGAAAUUUAAAUUUGACAAAAUAGAUGGAUUUGAGGGAUUUUACUGUGAAUAAUUUUCAUGUUUACUUCUAAUAGUUGACUGAGAUUUAAAUUUGAAAAACUUAUUUUUAUUUGUAUAUGUGGUAGUUGUAUUUGUAUCGGAUAAUUUUAAUGUUUAUUAGGUAGUUGAGAGAUUUAAAUUUGGAAAUUUUAUAUUUUUAUUUGUAUAUGUGGUAGUUGUUUUUGUAUUCAGCAUUAUUUCUUUAUUUAUACUUAAUUGUGAUUGAGUGAUUUGAAACUAAAAAUUUAUUGGUUAACACUUGUUUUAAUAUAAAUAGAUCAUUUAUCCUCCCUAAACACAUCACUCCUAUGUUUUGUAUCUAAAAUUUACUUUAUUGAGGGUGAGGUCUUACCAUUCUCCCAUACCAUUCUCCCAUUCUCCCUAAACACAUCUAUUUUUUCGCACUUUGUUUUUCCAUGUUCUUUCAUAUUUUGUUUAGGGGUAUAUGUGCAUUUUGCUUUGUUAGUGUGAAACUUUUUUUUUUUUUCCGACUAUCAUGAAGUAAGCAACUUUGUAUACAAGGUAGGUGACUUUCAACGAUAUUUUAUCUUGUCUUGCCUCGCACAUUUAGACAUUCACCAUUACAUAAUGUGUUCUUUUCUUUUCCACAUUUGUACAUGAACUUUUGCGUUUUUAAUUUAUUUGUUAGUACGUUUAUGUUUUGUAUAUUAUGGUUGUGUUAUAUUUGUCAUAUUAUUUAUUUUAACUUUUAAGAAUACUUUGUUUGAAAUGUAAUUUGAAAUAUUAAAUUUUUCUUUCUAAGUUAAUUUAUAUUGUUUUAUCACAUGAUUUGUACUUGAACUAUUUUUUGUGUGUAAUUGGAGUUAGAAAUACACGGGGGGUUCCCUUUAAAUUAUGAGAAUUAAGUUAUCUAGAUGUCAAUCUAUAGAUUUUGUAUACAUUAACUUUUAUAAAAUUCAAGUGUCAAUUUAGAUGGUGUUGACAAAUUCAAAAGCCACUAAGCAUCAGUGAACAAUCAUUGAGGAUGAGGCAUUAGUUGAGUGAUUAUUACAACUAGUGGAAGAAGGAUGUAGCUAGAGGGCUGAUAAUGAAACAUUCAAAUCGAGAUAUUUGGUACAUGUUCAAAAACUAACGAAAGAAAAAAUUCUUGGAAGCAACAUACAAGUAACUCCAAUUUAGAGUCGAAAAGUGAAAAUUUUGAAGAACCAGUUCACUAUCAUAGUAGAGAUGAUGGGGCCAGCAUGUAGUGAGUUUGGUUGAAAUGAGGAAUGAAAGUGCACUGAGGCAAAGAAACAUGUGUUCGAUGACUAGGUUAAGGGACACCUCAAUGCUCGAGGUCUACUGAACAAACCAUUUCCUUACUUGUAUGACUUGAAAAUUGUGUUUGGUAGAGAUAGGGCGACCGGUGGUAGAUGUAAGACACUCGUUGAAAUGGACUCACAGACUGCAAAAGAUAUUGAGGAAGAUGACAUGGACAUUAAUCUCGGAAACUUUGAUAUUCCAAAUUCAUAUAUACUUGAGCCACCAUCUGGGCAGGACAUGUCAUCCACUCCAACAAGUAUGGCACAUGAUGCAAGAUCAUCUAGGCUAAGUAAGAAAAUGCGGUCAUAUUCAGAGGACCUCAUGGACACAUUUCGUACAGACAUGCGAGAAACUUCCAAGAAAAUUGGAAAGAUUGUUGCAUGGCAGAAAGUAAAAAUAGAAAUAGAAUCAUACAUACAUAAACAAUUAUUAUGCUAAAUUACCGACUAUUCUUGGAAUGAACGUGAACGAUUGUUUAAUUGUAGUUGAGUCUCUAUUACCUUAUCCCAUGAUGUUGCACAGACUACCCAGCAGAAUGGAAGUACAUAAAAUGCAUGUGUAUCUUAAGAAGACAACUAUAAUCAUCACUAAAUGUAACUUUACUUAACUUUCAUUUUUGUUUAA